UACGUAGGUGGCAAGCGUUGACCGGAAUUAUUGGGCGUAAAGCGCGCGCAGGCGGUUAUGUAAGUCUGAUGUUAAAGCCCGGGGCUCAACCUCGGUUCGCAUUGGAAAAUGUGUAACUUGAGUGCAGAAGAGGAAAGUGGUAUUCCGCGUGUAGCGGUGAAAUGCGUAGAUAUGUGGAGGAACACCAGUGGCGAAGGCGACUUUAUGGUCUGUAACUGACGCUGAGGCGCGAAAGCGUGGGGAGCAAACAGG
rnacentral:rRNA from 1 species